UGUUUACUAGCCUCUCCAGGUCCAGGGUGGUGUCCCAGCAAGCACUGCUGCGUCCCAACAGGUGGCUGAAGUCUCCAGCGUCUGACUCCUGUCCUGAGCAAACAAACAGGGUCAAGGUUCCCUGGUCUUUAGAGACACAGAACCUGCUAUCAGUGGGUGGGAUCCAGGAACUCAAGGAUGGCAAGUCAUACAGCAGAGGAGAAAUCCAGGACUAGGUUGAACCGUCAGAGGCAUGGAUCAUGAGCUGGCCCCAAAGGAAAUCCAGCCACCAAAAUAUCUGGAAUACUAUGGGACAUUUGUCAAAUCCUAUCAUUGAAACCAGCCUCUAAAUUCAAAGACAGCCUCACAUCUCUGCUCAGCGCUUUUUCACUAUCUAGAGCCUGUUAAAGUCUGUUGUUGAA